CGUGGAGACAGUGUAGUAAGUGGAAGUCAAGUCAACGGGCUGCCCCCCAUAGUCUGCUGAGCGCACGUGGCGCCGAAGCCGGGCCCGCGGUCCCCACUGGCGCCCAGUGCCACCUGCUCCGCACACAGCCGCGGCCGUGACCUCCCUGCGGCGACCCGUAUCAGCCUAGGACGCGGUGCCGCACGCCCGCCUUGACCCCCAGCCCCGUGUCACAGCAAGUCUGCAUCCUGUCCUGCAGGCACGGUCUCCUGCUCUGCUUUCCUGUGUGUGCACUGCGGCCCGCGCCGGGACCCGCUCUGUCCGGCGCUCUGCUCCAGGCCCCGGGCUCCACCGGCCCUGCUGGUGCUUGGAGCCCCUGAGAACCCCUGGUCAGCCCAGGGUCCAGCCCCAGCAGCCGAAGCACCAAGCCCUGGCUCCUCCGUGCGGUCCCCACGGCCCACCCUGCACGGCCGAGAGUCCGUGGGCCAUGAAGACGGAAGAUGCCCAGCCCGUGCUCCCCAGAGCCCCCUCUGAACCGAAACAGCUGCCUGAUCAGAGAACGCUCACUUCGCCUAAGUGCGUCUAGGAUGCCGUCCGUGCAAGGACCAGGUCGUACUCACGGUUCCUGAGUGGGGACUUGACGCCACUGAAGGUGUGAUCUGAGGAGGUGUCAGCCAAGAACUCAGAAGAGUGGAGGGAAAGCUAUUUGUCCUUUCCCACAAGGAGGGGAGGAGGCACCUGCUCCCCCGUCUGCGCUCAUCUCACGGGGCGGAAGUGAGCCUUGACCAGAGCCUCUGCCUGGGGCCGUGUGCGCCUCUUCUCCUGGCUGAGGGAUGCGGCUUCCUAUGGAAUGUGAUUUCAGGACUGGGAACCUACCUGAGGUUCCUGGAAGACCUGGUUCCCCCACCUGCUGGCUGCCUGGGGGUGGGAGCCCCAGAGAAAAUGUGUACCAGCCUCUAGUGUACGGUAUUUGUUCCCAAAGUGUGUUCCUUGGAACCGUCUCCUCAGCUGCUCUGUGUCCUUUCCGGAUGAGGUGAGUCAGGCAGAGUCCGCAGGCCACAGCUCACGCUCUGCCGUCAUUGUCUGCGCUGGUGUUUUAAAGGACCUGAGGAGUCCUGCAGUGAGUAGCCAGUUUCCAAAGUGCAUUUGACUUCAGCACAGUCUCCACUCCCUUUUCGCCUGUGACCCGCCACUGGACUAAGAGAAACUCCCGCAGGAGCUGGACCUUUGUCAGGUGGGAGGUGUUUUCCAGCAAGGUUGCAGCCCGUCCUCGGGCUGGAUGUGCUCCGGCUGUCCCCAUACCCCUUCGAAGGCAUGUGGAGAUGGUCUUGUCCAGUCACCUCACUUUCCGGAUCGGGAGCUGGGGGUGGGUUAUGGUCCCUCACUUGCCAUAUCUCCUGCUGGGAAGGCUCCCGUCCAGUGGUUUUGCUUCCUCUGGACAUUGGCCCAGAUGUCACCUUCCCUCUGGGGCCUUCCCGGCUACCCAGACAGGAACUCGAGCCUGUCUUCUGUCUUCCCGGCACUGUCCACCCACGUCGGAGCUGCUUCUGUCCGCACUGCUGUAGGCUAACACGCCCCACGCUGUCGGCCUCAUCAGGACACCAGCCUUCUGGGGGCUUGUGGGCUGCCGUGUGACAGCCCAGACGCGCGCGAGGCCUGUCCGCACUGCAUCUAGUAGGGAUGUUGUGCUGGUCGCCUCUGUGCUCUGGCGGGAAAGCGGGUGAGAAUGGGCAUUCUGGGUGUUCAGGGGCAGACCCCAAGGCUGGCACUGAGCAGGGGCUGUAGUUCGCGCUGGCGUCAGCUGGAGCCCAGCGACAGACACGAAGCUUGGGUGUAUUUUAUCAUCGUUGUACGAUCCAGAGGCCCAGGGUGACAGGGCAAGGCCCCAGCCGCCAGGGACCUGAGCCCCUCUGACCCCGCUGCACCGGCGUCCCGAGAGCACGGUUCCUGCCCCAGCCUCUGCUGGCCGCGGGGGUCCCAGGCCAGACCUCUCUGUUGCCGGCGGGAGGACAGGGCAGUCUCCCCUGAAGUCUUCUCUUUCCCUGGCCUCUCUCUCUCCCCAGCUCGGAAUCGUCGUGUCUGCGAUGGGCCCACCCAAUGAAAACUUCCCAGGAGCACGCGUUUCAGGCAGGUCACUAGCUGUGUCUGACACAGGGGCUGUGUGACUCUGAGCUGAUAACGGAGGUGAUCUGGACAAGUCCACCGAUCUCUGAGGAACGUGGUGACAAAGUGCCCGGGGCAGAAUGGCUCACUGCCAGGGGACCACGCUGUCUGUGGCCCAGGAGGGCAGCGUGAGCACGGCGUGGGUCCCUGUGCUGGGGGCCGCGAGCGAGACACCCCACGCUCUCUUCCAGCAUCUGAGGGGCGCUGCUCAGGGGAGGGGAACAUUCCCUCCAGCCUCGGGGGCCCCGGCUGGAUGUGUGACAGACGGGAUGUGUGCUAAAGGUGCGGAGUGUAAGUCGUGCGGGACACGGGAGUCUUUGUGGGGAAAUGAAGGCCCAAGGACGCCGUUAGACGUGUCUGAUGAGGCAGAGAGAUAGCAGAGGCCGGGGGUGAGCUACGGGGCACUCAGCGAGGCCUGGUAGCCCUGUGUCCUGGGAGAUGAGGCAUCUCCUUCCCCCCAGUCUGGCAAGGGCUCCUCUCCCAGCACAGCCCUGUGAGCUGCUGUGCAGGAGGCAGGUGCACUGGACACGUGGGCUCUGUGACCUUCCUGCCCCUGCUGUUCCAGCCCCUUCUCCUUCUGAGGCGCGCUCUGCCCGGGGGCCACGGGGCUCGCCGUCCCAGGCUGGCAGGCCCAUCGCAGCUGUCUGCCUUGUCUCUGCGUCCCUGCAUUGAGGGCCCGCUGCAGUCCUUGCCUUCCUUCCCCCUGCGGGAGCCCCGUGUCCACAGUGGCUCACAUUCCAAGGUUCGGCGCGCCGCGUUGGGUCCCUGUGACAGGAAGGAUCUCGGGCUUGUGGGGCGGCACAGCCUGUGCUGCCGGAACACGGAUCGUUGUGCCCAGAGGCAAGUGUGAGGCUCUGUACACACUGUAGGGCUCUUUCUGGAAGUUCAGGUAUGGAAAGGGAGUGCUUUUUCUGCCUUCUUUGUGCUUGUUUUUACGUAAUGUCACACAGUCAGUGGCAUUUAGUUCCAGAACAGGUGGAGCCUCAGGGUUAAACCAGGGAGCACUAGUCUUGGACUUGAGAACUUGCGCACCUAUCUGUGCCUUGGGAGGGAGUGUUGGAAAAUCAGCGCAGGUGUCCAUGAUGGGCAGGGGCCUUGGGGUCAGACGCCGGGCUGGGUGCCGCCCCAAACCGGCCCCGCUGUGGGAUGGCCCCAAAGCCAGGCUGGAGGGUCAGAGGAGCAGCGCCCCCGGCUGUCCAGUCCUCCCUUAGAGAACAUGGAAUUUGGAACCCCUGACGCAGCAAGGGGGUCACUGAAGCUGAGCCUUGUUCGCACCUUUGGUCCUGUCCACUGUCAUGCGCGCCUUGCCGUGGUUUGUCCACGCAAAUGCAGCUCACUUUCUAAGCCUCAGGAACCUCAUCGGUGCUGGGGUCUGAGGAGAUGACACCCACGUACAGAGGGCGGUGUGGGGCCGUGAGCGCUCUCAGUGUGCCGGGUGCCCUCCAGGUACAACGAUGUGGGGCUCUGAGCCCUGGGGGGGCCCACGACCAGCCCAGGCUCCCACGGAAAGCUGGCAUGGACUCUGACCUGCACGUUCCCCUCACCAUCUGUUCUUUGCCCCGAAAAAUCUGUGGCCCCAGACUGCGGGAACACAAAGCAGAAUGGAAGCCAACGUGACCAGAUUUUGUAGUGAAAAUCCAUACCGAAGAUUCGACA